rnacentral:lncRNA from 1 species
UCACACUCCUCCGUUAGUUUGCUCUGACUCACCCUCCUCUCAUCCUACCCGUGAUGAACUUUCCAUUGAGUGAUUUAUUUUUCCAUAUACUGAGUAGCACUUAAGCAACUGCCUUCUUUUCACCUUCUUUCUUUCCUACCAAAUAAUUAUCGUGUCUCCUCUAUGCAAGGACAUUCAUAUAUGCUAUUUAUUCAGGCCUCAUUAUAACCCUGCUAAGUAAAUAUCAUCCCUCUAGAUGUGUAAAGUGGGGGUCAGGGUGGUUUUGUGGCUUGACAACAGCAUUGAGUCACCCCAGUGAGGAUCUGGAGGGGUGGAAGAAGAAAAGAAAGGGGGAGAGAAAAAUGGAAAAAGAAGGGGGGAGGGGGAGAGGCCAGCAGUACUAGGGGGCUGGCAGUAGUGAAGUCUGCAAGGCUCUAUCUCUACCUCCCCACAGGGUCAAGAUGACUCUACACACUCCCGAAGGUCCUGUGCUCAGAGACUAAUUCCAUGAAAAUGGGAUGGUGGCACAACAGAAAUUUGGGGCUGAUGCAAAAAUUAGGCCAAAAGUCACAGAAGCCAGAAUGUAGACUGCCUAACGUCCAGGCAUGGGAUUUAGGUUCUGCUUUGUAGCAAUGGCAAUCCAUCAAAGGAUGUGUGAUAUGUAAAAUUCCUUUAUCAGCAGCUCAGAAGAGUGGGCUCAGUAGGCAAAAGGCAGAGAAGACUAGAGGAAGGAGUAUCCUUUCAGUGCUGCCUUGCCACUUGUCCAGGCAAACGAAGAUGGAAACUUGAUUUAUGUUGGUGUCUGUAGAGGCGGAGGAGAAGAGGUGGUUUUAAGAGACCCGGGACAUAGAGAACCAACAACACCCUGUGAUAAGGAGAGGGAAGGAGAUGGGACAUUGAGGUUGACUCCAAGGUCUCUCACUACCUAGGGGGUCAAAUGUUGAUGAUGCCACACACUGAAAUACAAAACUGAGGAGAAGGAUACAUUUAGGUUUCCAACACAUUGUGUAUGAAACUCUAGGGGAACAUUCAGGUAGAGCUGUCCUACCUUUAAUUAAAAGCCUAAGCCCCUUCCCCCUCCCCAUCACUUUAUUUCAUACACUUAUAGCUGCUUUUCACAGACUGCAUACUGUAUACUGCCUGCUAAGCAGUCUCCACCUGACUGCAUUGCUUCAUGGCACUGUGCUUUUGGACAUUUGAUAUCCUUCAGCUAGAAUAUAUUUCUUCAUUGUCCAUUCACAGGAGCCUUCCUUUCUUAAAGACUCAAUUUUCCCAAUGUUACAGGUGAGGAAAUUAAGGACCAGAGACCAGAGAGGUUGAGUAAUUUGCUGCUAAGGGACAGCAUUAGCAUUUAAAUCAAGCAGUCUGCCUCUCUGGGCUGUGCUCUUAACCACUACUCUAUAUUUAUUAUUUUGCUACAUACAAAACAACGUUCACAAUGGAAUGUGGAGUGGCAUGUUUGCACGCAGCUGGGAUGCAAGACACCUUGAGAGUAGGGCACUGAGAUUAUAUUUCAAAAUGAUAUAAUAUCUGCAUCCCUAAAAGUGCAUUUUUCUAAGUUACUUUUGCUAUCUGUUCUUCAAAGUCUAUCUGGAGAAUACAAAAUAAUCCUUCAAGCCAGUCACAAAAGAUCACUUAUUAUAUAAUUCCAUUUAUAUGAAAUAUUCAGAAUAGUUAAAUCUAUAGAGGCAGAAAAGUUAGUAGUUGUUUAUGGCUGGUGAGGGGACAGAUGUGAGGAUAGGAAGGUGAUAGCUAAAGAGUUUGGAGUUUCUUACCAGGUGCUGUGGCUCACGCCUGUAAUCCCAGCACUUUAGGAGGCCAUGACAGGUGGAACAUCUGAGGUCAGGAGUUCGAGACCAGUCUGACCAACAUGGUAAAACCCCAACUCCAUUAAAAAUACAAAAAAAUGGGCCAGGCGCAAUGGCUCACCCCUGUAAUCCCAGCACUUUGGGAGGCCGAGGUGGGUGGAUCACGAGGUCAGGAGAUGGCCUGGCCAACAUGGUGAAACCUUGUCUCUACUAAAAAUAUAAAAAUU